rnacentral:rRNA from 1 species
GAUGAACGCUGGCGGCGUGCCUAAUACAUGCAAGUCGAGCGAAUGGAUUAAGAGCUUGCUCUUAUGAAGUUAGCGGCGGACGGGUGAGUAACACGUGGGUAACCUGCCCAUAAGACUGGGAUAACUCCGGGAAAACGGGGCUAAUACCGGAUAACAUUUUGAACCGCAUGGCUCGAAAUUGAAAGGCGGCUUCGGCUGUCACCUAUGGAUGGACCCGCGUCGCAUUAGCUAGUUGGUGAGGUAACGGCUCACCAAGGCAACGAUGCGUAGCCGACCUGAGAGGGUGAUCGGCCACACUGGGACUGAGACACGGCCCAGACUCCUACGGGAGGCAGCAGUAGGGAAUCUUCCGCAAUGGACGAAAGUCUGACGGAGCAACGCCGCGUGAGUGAUGAAGGCUUUCGGGUCGUAAAACUCUGUUGUUAGGGAAGAACAAGUGCUAGUUGAAUAAGCUGGCACCUUGACGGUACCUAACCAGAAAGCCACGGCUAACUACGUGCCAGCCGCCGCGGUAA